GUUUGCAAGCACAAUAGGCACAUCCUCACAAAUACCGACAGGUUAUCAAGACCGUGUGUUUCUUCAAUAGGCGGCAAAUUAAGACCACAUAUUUCUUUAACAGGAGAGAGUCAAUGUAGUUAGCAAAGUAUUUUUUCCAAAUGCAUUGACUAAUGGAAGGAGUCUUCAGUUUGGGUAGAUGAAGAUAAAUGCAUAGCUACAAGGUUUGCUAUGCUUCACUUUGGCCGAUAAGUGACAAAUUCCAAUGCAUAGAGCAUGAGAGAAUUUAUUAAUCUACUGCGGCCAAGUCUGGAUUACACAUGUCAGGAACCUCAUCUGGUCCUGAGCAAUGCCACACGGAAAUUUCAUAUAACAAAGAAGCUUCCCUUCAUAUCAAUUAUUGAUCGAAAAGAAGCUCACGCUUGAGAGAAAACUGUCAAAGAAUGAUAUAUGGGAUGAGAAAUUUCCAUCUGAUCAUGGUGGAAAAAUAUGCAACAUGUUAAUGAGUUGAUACAAUCAGAGAGGCGCUCUUGAUAAAAUUUUCAAGAGUAAUAUUGGUGUUUUGUUGAUUCCAAAUGGUAAAUCGGCGAAUAUUGUGGAGGAAGAGAAACAAAAUGAUGGUAAUUCUGAAUCUUAACAAGAGGAAAAUGUUGAUCAGUAUCAGUGUUAAAAAUGUAAGUGGCCUUGAUAGUACAAUUAUUUCAACGAGUGUACAUGCCCAGUCUGAUAGUGUUGAUGAACUUCUUGUUUUGCUUUUUUUAUUCUAAAAUAAAGAUUACAAAAUUCACUUUGUCCUAUCGUGUACUGUCUAUAAUUUGAUUUUUAGGUUUGUUAGGGAAGUCAUUUUUUAUCCUAAUGCCUCUAUUGCUUACCAUCUUAGUGCAUAUAACCGUCACAUCGGUUGGAGGAAGGUUUACAAAGAUAGAAUUAACUAAUUGAUAUCAACAAUUACCCCGAGGAGUUUAAACGGUUUUACAACGCUAUGUAUCGAGAAGAAAUUAUUGGACUAGAUUGAAAUCGACCCUAUAAGUGACUUUGCAUCUUGGAAUGUUAUAAUUUUUGAAAAGGUAACAUGUAUAAUUAUUUCAUAUGUAUAAUAUUUUUGAAGCAUUCAAGUGUUUAUUGGUAAGAUUUCAUAUAUACAUAUAUCCAUUAUUAUUAUUGUAUUGAUUAUACUAAGGGCCUCUAGUUUUGCCUCUGCCCCGGGCCCCCAAAAACCUCAGGACCGCCCCUGGGCACGAACUUCCUUCCCCCUGCUCGGGACUCCAUGAAGGAGCAGGAGCAGUUUCCGCUUGCGACCUCCACCUUGAUUAGGAAUAGGAUGACCACCGCCUGUUGUGCUAAUACUCAGGACCCUCCCUACGCUUCUCCUCACUCGUCCGGGUCCAGGGUUAGCUGCUCGGGGGCCAUGGCGUGUUUCGGGCAGGCACUGCCUUUGCCGCCGCCUGGUUAUGUCUCGUUCGUCACGGUGGCCAACUGGCUAGGAAGGUCCCUUCUCGCCAACUUGCAGGCGACUGUUAAUCCUUCAGUAAAAAAAGAUUCAGCUUUCUUCCAAGCCUAUGAUUUUCCUUUCAUCCUCUUUGUUGGUGCCUGUGUUGAUAAUGCGGCCUUUAAUUCCUUGGUUCAGAUAUCCUGAAGGAGAAGGAGUAGCCGAAAGGGGAUGGGAGCAACAGGUUUGAAUCAAAAGAGAUAUACCCAUCUGUCUGCAGACUGGUCUUAAUACAUUUUUCCUUUGGCCAUGUUGUGAUGUUUAGCUCUUUCCACUUAUCAGAUUUUAGUUCCAUUUGAAGCGAUGCAUAUUGGAAUAUAUUUUCCAGUCCUUCCAGCUGUUGCAUGAAUAAAUGACAACGUAUUAGCAUCACAAGCGAAGAAUAACAGAAAUCAUCUUAUCG